rnacentral:rRNA from 1 species
GACGAACGCUGGCGGCGUGCUUAACACAUGCAAGUCGAACGAUGACGCCCGAGCUUGCUCGGUCUGAUUAGUGGCGAACGGGUGAGUAACACGUGAGCAACCUGCCCUUCACUCUGGGAUAACCUCGGGAAAUCGGGGCUAAUACCGGAUAUGAGCUCCUGUCGCAUGGCGGGUGUUGGAAAGUUUUUCGGUGAAGGAUGGGCUCGCGGCCUAUCAGUUUGUUGGUGAGGUAGUGGCUCACCAAGGCGAUGACGGGUAGCCGGCCUGAGGGGGCGACCGGCCACACUGGGACUGAGACACGGCCCAGACUCCUACGGGAGGCAGCAGUGGGGAAUAUUGCACAAUGGGCGAAAGCCUGAUGCAGCGACGCCGCGUGAGGGAUGACGGCCUUCGGGUUGUAAACCUCUUUCAGCAGGGAAGAAGCGAAAGUGACGGUACCUGCAGAAGAAGCGCCGGCUAACUACGUG